AACGCUUGGAGGCGCACUAUUGUGAAUCGUCCGUAUUGGCUAAAACCUUUAAAUUGCUACUCCUUUGAGUCCUUUCAUUUCCAACAUUCAUUGGCUUUUGUAUGUCAGUGUUUUGUGUGAUUUCUUUUUUGGUUUCACUGACAUUUUUUACACUUUUCAAACAGAUAAGCCUAACGAUAACUGUAACUGACAGCGAACUACAAAGUUGCUUGACAACUUAGGACUUGUAGCUCCAAGUUUCAUUUCAAACUUUUAAAGUGAAAUCGGGAGCAUUCAAUCCAAUGCAGUGGGACAGGCAAACAACGUUCUGCGUCCCAUUACGCAGCAUCGGCAAAGAAGAGUUUGUGAAAUCCAGACUCCAGAAUCCGGGAAACAAGUGUAUGAAGUGGGACUUGUUGCCAGACUGGUGCUCUAUUGGAGAAAAGUCCAGUGAUCACCGUUCUGAAGAACAACCACGUCAUGAAGAGACCGUUAUUAGAAAUACAGUGUUUGCAAACGCAAGUCUAAACCAUGUGCUCCGCUCUCCACUAGUGUGGUCCGACACCUGACACCAUAAAACCUGUGGAGGUCCCAUGAUUUUCACCAGUUGCCAGCAAGUUCCGGAGGCAGAAAGUGUGUUUCAGACAUCUACAGUAGCUGCUGACAACAUCCUUGGAGGAUGGGUUCUUUUGGAGAUCCUUCAUGCAACCCUACUGGGAGCUACAAACAGUAACCACUUGGCCACACGGCCCCCAUGGCGACCACUGACAACAUAGGAAAUGUGAGGGUGUAACAACUGCGAGUAAGUUGAGGAAUGUGGCAGUUUGCAGGAGGAAAAACCCCAAACAUUCCACGGAAAACCCAGGCAGUCAGGCAGUGACUAAAAACCCAAUCCCCGUGUCGGCCAAGGCAGGAUUCAAAUUUCAGUAGGAGAGGUGUAA